AACGAACGCUGGCGGCAUGCCUAACACAUGCAAGUCGAACGAGACCUCCGGGUCUAGUGGCGCACGGGUGCGUAACGCGUGGGAACCUGCCCUUAGGUUCGGAAUAACUCCCCGAAAGGGGUGCUAAUACCGGAUAAUGUCUUCGGACCAAAGAUUUAUCGCCUUUGGAUGGGCCCGCGUUGGAUUAGCUAGUUGGUAGGGUAAAAGCCUACCAAGGCGACGAUCCAUAGCUGGUCUGAGAGGAUGAUCAGCCACACUGGGACUGAGACACGGCCCAGACUGGUACGGGAGGCAGCAGUGGGGAAUAUUGGACAAUGGGCGAAAGCCUGAUCCAGCAAUGCCGGGUGAGUGAUGAAGGCCUUAGGGUUGUAAAGCUCUUUUAGCCGGGAUGAUAAUGACAGUACCGGGAGAAUAAGCUCCGGCUAACUCCGUG
rnacentral:rRNA from 1 species